rnacentral:lncRNA from 1 species
AUGCAACAUUAGCCACAGAGUGUUCCAUGCAACAUUAAUCGCAGAGUGUUCCAUGCAACAUUAGCUGCAUUGUUCCAUGCAACAUUAGCCACAGAGUAUUCCAUGCAACAUUAGCCACAGAGUGUACCAUGCAACAUUAACCGCAAAGUGUUCCAUGCAACAUUAGCCACAGAGUGUACCAUGCAACAUUAGCUGCAGAGUGUUCCAUGCAACAUUAGCCACAGAGUGUACCAUGCAACAUUAGCUGCAGAGUGUUCCAUGCAACAUUAGCUGCAGUGUUCCAUGCAACAUUAGCCACAGAGUGUUCCAUGCAACAUUAGCUGCAGUGUUCCAUGCAACAUUAGCCACAGAGUGUUCCAUGAAACAUUAGCUGCAGAGUGUUCCAUGCAACAUUAGCCACAGAGUGUUCCAUGCAUGAAGGCACUUUAAUCAAACCUCCAUCACAGUUUACUUCUAGUUGUUAUUUUUUAUUUCAAACAUAUUGUGACGUCAUUAUGUG